rnacentral:rRNA from 1 species
UACUUUCAGCAGUGAGGAAGGUGGAGUCGUUAAUAGCGGCCUCAUUUGACGUUUAGCUGCAGAAGAAGCACCGGCUAACUCCGUGCCAGCAGCCGCGGUAAUACGGAGGGUGCGAGCGUUAAUCGGAAUUACUGGGCGUAAAGACGCAUGCAGGUGGUUUGGUUUAAGUUCAGAUGUGAAAGACCCGGGGCGUCAACCUCGGAAUAGCAUUUGAAACUAGGCAGACUAGAGUACUGUAGAGGGGGGUAGGAAGUUUCUAGGUGUAGCGGUGAAAUGCGUAGAGAUCUGAAGGAAUACCGGUGGCGAAGGCGGCCCCCCUGGACAGAUACUGACACUCAGAUGCGAAAGCGUGGGGAGCAAACAGGAUUAGAUACCCUGGUAG